CAGUCGCCGCGGGAAUACGAAGGGUGCAAGCGUUAAUCGGAAUUACUGGGCGUAAAGCGUGCGCAGGCGGUUAUAUAAGACAGAUGUGAAAUCCCCGGGCUCAACCUGGGAACUGCAUUUGUGACUGUAUAGCUAGAGUACGGCAGAGGGGGAUGGAAUUCCGCGUGUAGCAGUGAAAUGCGUAGAUAUGCGGAGGAACACCGAUGGCGAAGGCGACCACCUGGACUGAUACUGACACUGAGGUGCGAAAGCGUGGGGAGCAAACAGGAUUAGAGACCCGCGUAGUCCCUGUCUCUUAUAC
rnacentral:rRNA from 1 species